rnacentral:rRNA from 1 species
AGUGAACGCUGGCGGUAGGCCUAACACAUGCAAGUCGAACGGCAGCACAGUAAGAGCUUGCUCUUACGGGUGGCGAGUGGCGGACGGGUGAGGAAUACAUCGGAAUCUACUUUUUCGUGGGGGAUAACGUAGGGAAACUUACGCUAAUACCGCAUACGACCUACGGGUGAAAGCAGGGGAUCUUCGGACCUUGCGCGAUUGAAUGAGCCGAUGCCGGAUUAGCUAGUUGGCGGGGUAAAGGCCCACCAAGGCGACGAUCCGUAGCUGGUCUGAGAGGAUGAUCAGCCACCCUGGAACUGAGACACGGUCCAGACUCCUACGGGCGGCAGCAGUGGGGAAUAUUGGACAAUGGGCGCAAGCCUGAUCCAGCCAUACCGCGUGGGUGAAGAAGGCCUUCGGGUUGUAAAGCCCUUUUGUUGGGAAAGAAAAGCAGCAGGUUAAUACCCCGCUGUUCUGACGGUACCCAAAGAGUAAGCACCGGCUAACUUCGUG